UCCGUCACAGCCAGCUCUGGGGAAGCGGGUCAUUUGACGUGGAAUCAACACCUGCGAAAGGAGGCCAAACUCCUUCAGAGCAUAUUCUAGUUUCACAAACCUCUGUUCCAAGAGACUCACACUAUUCCUAGUUCAUGGAGUCAGAACUCUCCUGGCAAAUAUUUAAUGAUUUUCUCAAAGUGGCAGAGAAAGUCAGGCUCUUCCUGCUUCCUUGAAAUGGCCCUGGCACUGGCUGAAUGAAAAGGGGACCAGCUGCAUGCUGCCUUCCAGGCUGAGAGAAACCCUAGGGACGAGGCAGGGCCUCCACACCCAGCAGGAGAGAACCCACAGGCAGCCGGCCCCCUCCGCCUCUUCCCCCACCCAUUACGGCUCCUCCUAAGGCUUUCCAACAAAAUCGGCCUCCACUCACUUGGGAAGGUUUCCUGGGGCUCCGCAUCAGGGCUCCGGGCGCCCGACCUGCUGGCUUUCUCACCGGGCAGUUUCAGGAGUUGAGCGAGUUACUUGACCUCUCCAUGCCUCCAAUCCUCACCAGUGGAAGAAGGAUAAUAAUAGUAACUCCCUCACGGGGUGCAACCGGGAUGAAGUGAGUUCAUAUUUGCAAAGCGAUUAAAACAGCACUCGGCACACAGUGAGAAACUGUGCUGUAAGAGGUUAUAACCCUGCACCUGGCCAGGGAUGGAGCUGGACCUUGAAACCCAACCUUCUGACCACAAACUGCCCUCAUAUGGCCACACCCUUCCCUCCCCACUGCCACUGCCACCUGAUGGGAGGACCAGGGCAACUCUGGAGAGCACGGAGGGCAGCCACGGCUAAGGCCGGAUGCGGCACUGUUAGGAGGGGUGUAAACUCUCUGCCCUCUGUCUGUCCACAGGCUCAGCUGUUUUCCGUGUUCUUAAAACUUCAGCACAAACAAAAGUAAAUCCCAAACUAUAACACCUCUUCCCCAUAGAACGGCUCAGAAACCAAGCCAGGCCACAGUUUCCUGCCUUGUGGCUGCCAGAUGUAGUCAGUGUUCUAGUGACCAAAUUCACAGCUAAGGUAUUGUCCUUAGAGGACAAUAAAGAGUUAUAACUUAGGAAGAGCAAAGUUCAAGUAAGUCCUGGAGCUAAUUAGAGAACAACCUAAAAAAUAAUAAAUCUCCUUUCACACAUCCUGAUUUCAGGUAAUUGUAUCAA